GACGAACGCUGGCGGCGUGCCUAAUACAUGCAAGUAGAACGCUGAAGGAGGAGCUUACUUCUCUGGAUGAGUUGCGAACGGGUGAGUAACGCGUAGGUAACCUGCCUGGUAGCGGGGGAUAACUAUUGGAAACGAUAGCUAAUACCGCAUAAGAGUAGAUGUUGCAGGACAUUUACUUAAAAGGUGCAAUUGCACCACUACCAGAUGGACCUGCGUUGUAUUAGCAAGUGGGUGGGGUAACGGCUUACCAAGGCGACGAUACAUAGGCGACCUGAGAGGGUGAUCGGCCACACUGGGACUGAGACACGGCCCAGGCUCCUACGGGAGGCAGCAGUAGGGAAUCUUCGGCAAUGGACGGAAGUCUGACCGAGCGACGCCGCGUGAGUGAAGAAGGUUUUCGGAUCGUAAAGCUCUGUUGUAAGAGAAGAACGAGUGUGAGAGUGGAAAGUUCACACUGUGACGGUAUCUUACCAGAAAGGGACGGCUAACUACGUGCCAGCCGCCGCAGUAA
rnacentral:rRNA from 1 species